rnacentral:lncRNA from 1 species
CCUACUCAUGAUCUAGCUUCAUCGCAAACCCUAGAAGGGAUGCUUAGCUAGACAUGAUCUAAAUUUACUUGCAAAAUUUAAAUACAGAAAAAUAAACUACCCUAAUUUCAUAAAUUAAACUACCCUAAUUGUAUAAAUUUAAACUGCAUAAUUUAAACUAACCUAAUUGCAUAAAAUUAAAUUGCAUAAAUUAAACUAUCCUAAUUGCAAAAAAAAUAAAUUGCAUAAUGUAAAGAGAUAAAAUUGCAUAAAAAUAAGAUUUUAUAUAAAAAAAAUUUAUUACAAAAACCUCAAAGCUCGAGGCUUGAGAAGAAAGCUAAAAACCCCACUAUCUAGGGUUACAAGCUUGAUCGGAAGGCCAGAAUCCUUAAAAUAAGGGCCUUUGGGGGCUUUUUAUAGGUAUUUGGGGGU